AUGAACGCUAGCGACAGGCUUAACACAUGCAAGUCGAGGGGCAGCGGGGGUAGCGAUACCCGCCGGCGACCGGCGCACGGGUGAGUAACGCGUAUACAACUUGCCUAUCAGAGGGGGAUAACCCGGCGAAAGUCGGACUAAUACCGCAUGAAGCAGGGGUCCCGCAUGGGAAUAUUUGCUAAAGAUUCAUCGCUGAUAGAUAGGCAUGCGUUCCAUUAGGCAGUUGGCGGGGUAACGGCCCACCAAACCGACGAUGGAUAGGGGUUCUGAGAGGAAGGUCCCCCACAUUGGUACUGAGACACGGACCAAACUCCUACGGGAGGCAGCAGUGAGGAAUAUUGGUCAAUGGCCGAGAGGCUGAACCAGCCAAGUCGCGUGAGGGAUGAAGGUUCUAUGGAUCGUAAACCUCUUUUAUAAGGGAAUAAAGUGCGGGACGUGUCCCGUUUUGUAUGUACCUUAUGAAUAAGGAUCGGCUAACUCCGUGCCAGCAGCCGCGGUAAUACGGAGGAUCCGAGCGUUAUCCGGAUUUAUUGGGUUUAAAGGGUGCGUAGGCGGCCUUUUAAGUCAGCGGUGAAAGUCUGUGGCUCAACCAUAGAAUUGCCGUUGAAACUGGGGGGCUUGAGUAUGUUUGAGGCAGGCGGAAUGCGUGGUGUAGCGGUGAAAUGCAUAGAUAUCACGCAGAACCCCGAUUGCGAAGGCAGCCUGCCAAGCCAUGACUGACGCUGAUGCACGAAAGCGUGGGGAUCAAACAGGAUUAGAUACCCUGGUAGUCCACGCAGUAAACGAUGAUCACUAGCUGUUUGCGAUACACUGUAAGCGGCACAGCGAAAGCGUUAAGUGAUCCACCUGGGGAGUACGCCGGCAACGGUGAAACUCAAAGGAAUUGACGGGGGCCCGCACAAGCGGAGGAACAUGUGGUUUAAUUCGAUGAUACGCGAGGAACCUUACCCGGGCUUGAAAGUUAGUGACGGAUGCCGAAAGGUGUCUUCCCUUCGGGGCACGAAACUAGGUGCUGCAUGGUUGUCGUCAGCUCGUGCCGUGAGGUGUCGGCUUAAGUGCCAUAACGAGCGCAACCCUUGCCACUAGUUACUAACAGGUAAAGCUGAGGACUCUGGUGGGACUGCCAGCGUAAGCUGCGAGGAAGGCGGGGAUGACGUCAAAUCAGCACGGCCCUUACAUCCGGGGCGACACACGUGUUACAAUGGCGUGGACAAAGGGAGGCCACCUGGUGACAGGGAGCGAAUCCCCAAACCACGUCUCAGUUCGGAUCGGAGUCUGCAACCCGACUCCGUGAAGCUGGAUUCGCUAGUAAUCGCGCAUCAGCCAUGGCGCGGUGAAUACGUUCCCGGGCCUUGUACACACCGCCCGUCAAGCCAUGGGAGCCGGGGGUACCUGAAGUCCGUAACCGCGAGGAUCGGCCUAGGGUAAAACUGGUGACUGGGGCU
rnacentral:rRNA from 1 species